CCCCACCUCUCAGCCCACCCCACCUCUCAGCCUAUCCCACCUCUUCGCCCAUCCCACCUCUUAGCCCAUCCCACCUCUUAGCCAUCCCACCUCUCAGCCCACCCCACCUCUCAGCCACCCCACCUCUCAGCCCAUCCCACCCCUCACCCCUCUCAGCCCAUCCCACCUCUCAGCCCAUCCCACCUCUCGCCCAUCCACCCCUCAGCCCAUCCCCACCCCUCAGCCCAUCCCACCUCUCAGCCAUCCCACCUCUCAGCCCAUCCCACCCCUCAGCCACUCUCACGCCCAUCCCACCUCAGCCACUCAGCCCAUCCCACCUCUCAGCCCACCCUCAGCCACUCUCAGCCCAUCCCACCUCUCAGCCCAUCCCACCUCUCAGCCCAUCCCCCCUCUCGCCCAUCCACCUCUCCGCCACUCUCAGCCCAUCCCACCUCACAGCCCAUCCACCCUCAGCCAUCCACCUCUCAGCCCCUCUCAGCCCAUCCCCCCCUCAGCCCAUCCCACCUCUCAGCCACUCUCAGCCCAUCCCACCUCUCAGCCACUCUCAGCACAUCCCACCUCUCAGCCCAUCCCACCCCUCCGCCACUCUCCGCCCAUCCCACCUCUCCGCACUCUCAGCCCAUCCACCCCUCAGCCACUCUAGCCCAUCCCACCCCUCAGCCACUCUCAGCCCAUCCCACCUCUCAGCCACUCUCACCAUCCCACCCCUCAGCCCUCCCACCUCUCAGCCACUCACAGCCAUCCCACCUCUCAGCCCUCCCACCUCUCAGCCCAUCCCACCCUCAGCCCAUCCCACCCCUCAGCCCCUCUCAGCCACUCUCAGCCAUCCACCCCUAGCCACUCCGCCCAUCCCACCCCUCAGCCACUCUCAGCCCAUCCCACCUCUCAGCCCCUCCACCCAUCAGCCACUCUCAGCCCAUCCCACCCCUCAGCCACUCUCAGCCCAUCCCACCCCUCAGCCACUCUCAGCCAUCCCACCCUCAGCCACUCUCCGCCCAUCCCACCCUCAGCCACUCUCAGCCCAUCCCACCCCUCAGCCACUCUCAGCCCCUCCCACCCCUCCCCACUCUCAGCCCAUCCCACCCCUCAGCCACUCACAGACUGAUCCACCGUGGCAGAGUGCAUGCAGAGGGAGUGAGUGACAGACAGAGGAGCAGUAAUAGAUUUACUAAACGUGGAAGUUAUUUCUGGUUUCCAUCUUUACAUUUGCA
rnacentral:lncRNA from 1 species